rnacentral:lncRNA from 1 species
CAGAGGGGAGUAUGUGUUGAUGCAGAGGCUAGGAUGAUCUUCUUUAGAAAAGAAACUUAUUUCCUCAGAGAAGGUCUUGUGAUGCUCAUGACUGGGAAGUGGCAGUGAAGGGGUAAAAAGUUUGAUGUAGUGGCUCUGAAGGAAAUUCACGAACUUUUGUGGCGCAUAAGGAAACCAUAUACAUUUUUGUGGCACCGAGAGAAUUGGCCCAACUAGUAAUAGCAUGCAUGUGCACUGGCCUGUUUGAGGAGAGGACUCUGACUUCAGCUUAAUGGGAACAGAGAAAUAAUUUUGUCAUGUGCUAGCAUAACAAUUUUUGAAACUAGAGCAAGAUGCUUUUUGCCAAGUGUCCUAACAGACUGUACGGUACCUUUUAAAUAGUUUCAGGAUAAGCAUAUAGUAGA